GACGAGCCACCCGAACGUUAUUCGGAAUUACUGGGCUUAAAGGGUGCGUAGGCGGUGCAGCAAGUCGGGAGUGAAUACCUCAGCUUAACUGAGGAGCUGCUUUCGAUACUGCUGUGCUUGAGUGAGACAGAGGUAAGCGGAACUUAGGGUGGAGCGGUGAAAUGCGUUGAUAUCCUAAGGAACACCGGUGGCGAAGGCGGCUACUGGGUCUCUACGUGACGCUGAGGCACGAAAGCCAAGGGCUGAGCAAACGGGG
rnacentral:rRNA from 1 species